GUUCCUGCAGGAUCUCAGGGGGGUUCUGGGUGGUUCUUGAAGGAUCUCAGCAUGUUUAGGUUGGUUCCAGGAGGAUCUCAGGAGGUUUUGGGUGGUUCCUGCAGGAUCUCAGCAGGUUUAGGUUGGUUCCUACAGGAUCUCAGCAGGUUCCUGCAGGAUCUCAGGGGGGUUUAGGUUGGUUCCUGCAGGAUCUCAGGGGGGUUUAGGUUGGUUCCUGCAGGAUCUCAGGAUGUUCUGGGUGGUUCCUGCAGGAUCUCAGGGGGGUUUAGGUUGGUUCCUGCAGGAUCUCAGCAGGUUCCUACAGGAUCUCAGCAGGUUCUGGGUGGUUCCUGCAGGAUCUCAGCAGGUUUAGGUUGGNAUUGGAGACUCCAUCGCCGACGCCAAGACCUACCAGGACAUCCAGAACACCAUCAAGAAGGCCAAGCAGGACGUGAUCGAGGUGGGGCUUGGGGAGGUUCCUGCAGGAUCUCAGGGGGGUUUUGGUUGGUUCCUGGAGGAUCUCAGGGGGUUCUGGGUGGUUCUUGGAGGAUCUCAGCAGGUUCUGGAUGGUUCUUGGAGGAUCUCAGCAGGUUCUGGAUGGUUCUUGGAGGAUCUCAGCAGGUUCUGGAUGGUUCUUGGAGGAUCUCAGCAGGUUCUGGUUGGUUCCUGCAGGAUCUCAGCAGGUUCUGGGUGGUUCCUGCAGGAUCUCAGGAGGGUUUAGGUGGUUCCUGCAGGAUCUCAGCAGGUUCCUGGUGGAUCUCAGCAGGUUCCUACAG
rnacentral:lncRNA from 1 species